rnacentral:rRNA from 1 species
UACAGAGGUCCCAAGCGUUGUUCGGAUUCACUGGGCGUAAAGGGUGCGUAGGUGGUGGGGUAAGUCGGAUGUGAAAUCUCGGAGCUCAACUCCGAAAUGGCAUUGGAAACUACCCUGCUUGAGGGUCGGAGGGGGGACUGGAAUUCUCGGUGUAGCAGUGAAAUGCGCAGAUAUCGGGAGGAACACCAAUGGCGAAGGCAGCUUGCUGGGACAGUACUGACGCUGAGACGCGAAAGCGUGGGGAGCGAACAGG